rnacentral:rRNA from 1 species
UUCCGGUUGAUCCUGCCGGAGGCCGCUGCUAUCCGGCUGGGACUAAGCCAUGCUAGUCUAGGGGCUCCUUCGGGAGCACCGGCGGACGGCUCAGUAACACGUGGACAACCUGCCCUCGGGUGGGGGAUAACCCCGGGAAACUGGGGCUAAUCCCCCAUAGGGGAUGGGUGCUGGAAUGCCCCAUCUCCGAAAGCGCUCAGCGCCCGAGGAUGGGUCUGCGGCGGAUUAGGUAGUUGGUGGGGUAACGGCCCACCAAGCCUAAGAUCCGUACGGGCUGUGGGAGCAGGAGCCCGGAGAUGGACCCUGAGACAAGGGUCCAGGCCCUACGGGGCGCAGCAGGCGCGAAACCCUCCGCAAUGCGGGAAACCGGCGACGGGGUUAGCCGGAGUGCCCCGUGCAUCGCCACGGGCUGUCGGGGUGCCUAAACAGCACCCCAUAGCAAGGGCCGGGCAAGGGCUGGUGGCAGCCGCCGCGGUAAGACCGGCGGCCCGAGUGGCGGCCACUCUUAUUGGGCCUAAAGCGUCCGUAGCCGGCUCAGGUAAGUCCCCCGGGAAAUCUGGUCGCUUAACGAUCAGACUUCCGGGGGAUACUGCUGAGCUAGGGACCGGGAGAGGCCGAGGGUAUUCCCGGGGUAGGGGUGAAAUCCGUUAAUCCCGGGAGGACCACCAGUGGCGAAGGCGCUCGGCUGGAACGCGCCCGACGGUGAGGGGCGAAAGCCGGGGGAGCGAACCGGAUUAGAUACCCGGGUAGUCCCGGCUGUAAACGAUGCGGGCUAGGUGUUGGGCGGGUCCUAGAGCCCGCCCAGUGCCGCAGGGAAGCCGUUAAGCCCGCCGCCUGGGGAGUACGGCCGCAAGGCUGAAACUUAAAGGAAUUGGCGGGGGAGCACCACAAGGGGUGGAGCCUGCGGCUUAAUUGGAGUCAACGCCGGGA